UCACUGCAGCAGGAAAAGCAGAAAAGCAUAUUUUUUCAAUAGCUUGAGACAGCAGGCGUAGGGCAUUUUCUCGUGAUAAGUUAAAUAAUCAUCAAAUUUGAUGAGAAUUGAUAAGUUGUUUCAGCUCUACUGUCAGUGGAACACAGCGUCACAAUGAUUAUAGGUUAAUGCCAGCAGAACAGCAGUGGCAUGCCAAUACUUCUUCCACUGAAGAAGCACUCAAACAUAAUGCAGCAAGAUAAUUAUUCGGGCCGGGAUUCUAGCAUAAGCCGAGGUCAAUCUCAACACCCUCACCCUGACUGUAACUGUUAAAAAAGAGAGCUAAGUGUGUUCAGUUUCAGAAAACGAUCAGUAUGUAGCCCUCCUCCAUCCCAUUCACCUCCUGCUCAUCAAAUCCAGGCCCAGUUCACGCUCAGCAGGAGUCUUCUCCUCAUCACAUCCAGAUCCUCUUCUCAUUCUCUUCAUCCCUUCAUCACCACCACCAGUAUCUAGACUCCAUCUGGGGGGAUUUCUAUACCUUUGCGGCUUCACCAUCUAUUAAAAAUGUCAUCACGAUGGUGUCUAAUAGCCAAGUGAUAUUUUUUUGCAUUCUUGUAUCGAUGUAUCACAUGUCAAUAAAUAAUUGUUGUUCAC